UUGGAUGAUGAAAUAAGCACUGGGCUCUGAGCAUCUAAGCAAAUUAGGUGCAUAAUUGAUGCACAUUGCUAGCCUAGAAAGCUAUGUCUGACUU